UACGUAGGGUGCAAGCGUUGUCCGGAAUUAUUGGGCGUAAAGAGCUCGUAGGCGGUUCGUCGCGUCGGCUGUGAAAACCCGGAGCUCAACUCCGGGCCUGCAGUCGAUACGGGCGGACUUGAGUGUUGCAGGGGAGACUGGAAUUCCUGGUGUAGCGGUGAAAUGCGCAGAUAUCAGGAGGAACACCGGUGGCGAAGGCGGGUCUCUGGGCAACUACUGACGCUGAGGUGCGAAAGCGUGGGGAGCAAACAGG
rnacentral:rRNA from 1 species